rnacentral:lncRNA from 1 species
UGAGAAAUGACAUGUGGCUUAUAUUUUUAAAAGAUCCUUUGGAUGCUACUUUGAGAAUAAAUUGAAGGGAGACAAGGAUGAAGGGGAGAAGAGCACUUGGGAAGCUAUUGCCAUAAUCCAGGUGAGAGAUGGUGGUAGCAUGAACCAAGAUAAUUGGUUAGAGGGUGGAUCAGGUAGUUGGAUUUGGGAUAUAUUAGGAAGGUAGAGCCAAUAGGAUUGCCUAAUGGACCAGAUGAGGAGUAUUAGAAAAGAGAGAAGUCAAGUAUGACUCCAAGAUUUUUGGCCGAAGCAACUGAUAUGGUUUGGCUGUGCCACUACCCAAAUCUCAUCUUGGAUUUUAAUGUCCACAAUUCCCAUGUGUUGUGGGAAUGACCCUGUAAUUGAACCAUGGGAACAGGUCUUUCCCAUAUUAUUCUCACAAUAGGGAACAUGUCUCAUGAGGUCUGACGGUUUUAAAAGGGGGAGUUUAACCCCACUAACCACACAAACUUUCUUCUCUUGUCUGCCAUCAUGUGAGACUUGCCUUUCAUCUUCCACCAUGAUUGUGAGGCCUCCCCAGACACAUGGAACUGGAGGUGAAGAGUUGAGGAACAUUGAACGAGAGAGGAAAAACAUCUUUUGGGGACCAUCAGCGGUGGUGGUUAAAGCCAUGAGAGUGGAGGAGACUGCAAGUGAAGAACAUGAAGAAUGAGAAGUGCCAAGUGCAGAACCCUGGAAAUACCCACUUUUAGCCUUGAAUUCUAAGGGAUGAGUAGAGGAAGAACCCACCACAGAUUAAUCUUUGCAAAAUAUGUUGACAUUGUACAAAUUUUCAUGUGUGAUUGUUAAUUAUUUUAAUAAAUUUUAUGUUGUUGGGCCACCACACAGGACUCUGAAAUUCGUUUAUAAUUCAUUGUAUUGAAAAUUAAAUACACAAGAUGAUAUUUCUAUUGCUUAUGCAGAAUAUCAAUAAUAAUAAUAAAAUGAGCUCUGCAUACUUCUUACCCAGUAUAAUAAAUGAAACUUUACCAUUCCUUUGAAACUUAUGUUCUCAUAUCAGUUCCCUUCCCCAAGAUUCCCUACACCUAGAGGUAACUAAUAUGAUACACUUUGUUUACCAUUUCCUUGAUUUCCCCUUAAUUCCAGUAUCUAUGAAUGUAGUAGAGAGAACACAGUUAGAUUUUAAAACUGAUUUUGAACUUCACGUAAUGAAAUCACAUUAUAU